UACAGAGGUCCCAAGCGUUGUUCGGAUUUACUGGGCGUAAAGGGUGCGUAGGCGGUCGGAAAAGUCUGAUGUGAAAUCUCGGAGCCUAACUCCGAAACUGCAUUGGAUACUAUUCGGCUGGAGGUUGGGAGGGGGGACUGGAAUUCUCGGUGUAGCAGUGAAAUGCGUAGAUAUCGAGAGGAACACCAGUGGCGAAGGCGAGUCCCUGGACCAAUUCUGACGCUGAGGCACGAAAGCCAGGGGAGCAAACGGG
rnacentral:rRNA from 1 species